rnacentral:tRNA from 1 species
CCGCGGCAGGGUGGCGCCUUGGUGGGCUGGAAGCCCACCCUACGCCGGGAUGUUCCGGGGCGUUGCUGCGGA